AUUCUUUCAUCCAUCCAUUCUCCAACUACCAAUCCAUACAUGCACACAUGUAUGAUUUGCUCCAUCCAUCCACCCAGACAUGUACAAAUCUUUUCAUCCAUCACUCCUCCACCAUCUGUGUAUCUACUCAUCCACCAUCUACUCUUACUCUUAUCUAUCCAUGCAUGGAUUCAUCCAUCUGUCCAUGUUACAAACAUUUAUUGAGCAAUACACCAGACAUCAUACUAGGCUCUGGGAGUAGACUGAUGAGUCUUCAGGGUGCUUCCAGUCUACUGGGGAGACAGAAAGGUCAAUAAACAAGUACUGGGUGAUGAGUUCUCUGAUUAGGUAGAGUGAGGGGAGACGCACAAGGCACAAGCAAAGGCACCUUGCUCUGACCUGGGCACUUAGGAAGGCUUCUCACACAGGCUGCAUCUGAAGGAUGAAUAUGAGGUGGCCAGGCAAAGGAAUGGGGACAGGCAAACAACAUGUGCGGCAGAGAGAUGAGCUCAUGCAACGACCCAGAGCUGCAAGAUAAACAGCUCACCUGGAGUGUAGCAUGUGAAGUGAGGAGAGGGCUUGGGACACCUCCUGUCCUGCUGAACCAAUGGCCUCUGGGUGCUGCUGGCUGCGGUCCCUGCCCCGAGGAGCUCAAAGACUAUGUGCAAACAAGGAAGCAGCUGCCUCGCAGCACAGCCCCUGCUAUAUAGGAGCUGCCCAGGGAACUGUGGGAGCCCGGAGGAAGCCCCUCACUCAGACUUGGGAGUCAGCAAGGCUCAGUCUUGCAGGAUAAGGGAGUUAGCAGGGUAAACGUUGUUGGGGGCUGGGACUGCAGACACAGGGCACAGCACAUGCAAAGGCCUGGCAGUGAGUUGGCAGGGCAGGUUCAGUGCGGGUGCAGCUGGAGCACAGGGUGAGGGCUGGCAAGAAGGAAGGAUAAAGGUAGGGUAAGGGGACCAAGGUCAGUCAGCAGGGAACAGAUAGAUGAUGGAGGGCCACGUGACAGAUUUUUGGAUUUUCACUGCAUGUCAGUGGAGCCAUAAACUAUUUUAAGCAGGGAUACAGGUGAACAGAUUUGUGUUCUUGAACCAUUACUCUGAGCAUCCACUGGGACAGACUGGACGAGACACCUUGCUACUUUCAACAGCCACUUUGUAUUAGGCGCCUUUGAGUACUGACCACAUCGUCGAGCUAGGCCUCUAGGGAUAGACAUCUAGAGCAUUGCUAACAUUUUGCUAUAACAAAUAGCAUUGCAGCACAUAUUACUAUUCUUACCCCGUUUCCACUUGGGUAAGUAUAAUUGAACGAUAUCUUGUGAACACAGAGCAAAAUCAUACAUAUUGAUCUUUGCCAAUUUUGGCUAUAAAUGUUAAAGGAUGAUUUUUAUCUUUUAUUCAGGGAGUUUUUGGGUUAUCUAUCUGCCAUGUCAAAAACAGUUUUAUUUUAUUUUAUCUUUUUGAGAUGGAGUCUUGCUCUGUCGCCAGGCUGGAGUGC